GCUCUGACUGCCAUGUUAGACGUGGUAAUGUCGCCCCUGCCUCAGUCAACACCUCUUACUGACACUCAAUGGCUUUUUGUUUUUUUUUAUUCUCCAGCACCUGUUCUUGGCUGUCAGACAGCUCAUAGUCUGACUCUGACUGCUGCCAUCUCUGCAGAAGAACAACAGCUCUGUAACAAAGGUUCCCCCCAGAGCUGCCCAGGGGACCCCGAAUGUUAAGGCAGGGGAGGAAUGGAAGAAAGCUAUGAGACAUUUGAGGAGGAGUUGGGGUCACCAAGAGCAGAUCCUCCUCCACAGAAGCCUGUUCGACAGAUCCGCAGACCAGAAAUGUAUGCCACCAGGAAAAUUAGAGAGGAAGUAGCACCAGUUCAACUACGAGCAGAGCCAAAGACUUUACCCAGAGAACCCACCUCCUCCAGAACAAUGUCCUUGCAAAAAACCUUGUCUGUCCAGGGCCUCACUCAGACUGAAACGCCGUGGGAGAAUGUCACUUUGAACCGCUGUCUCUUUGUGGCCAUCACCAUCCUGGUGCUCACCUCAGGCUUUCAGAAAGUUCACGAAACCUUGCGUGGUCAAGGGCCAGUAGAGGAGCAAGAAGAGUUUGGACUGAGAACGAGACGGCUGGGCACUUUACGACAGAGAGGGCAUCCACCAGAGCCUGAGACAUCUCUGUGGGAAGUCAUGUUUUGGUGGCUGCCUGACCUUGAUGAUGAAGAUGAUGAAGAGGAAGAUGAUGAUGAUGAUGGAGUGGUCAAAAAAGGAAAAUCAAAGAAGGGAGCAACAAGGGCACCAAGCAGUCUCAGAAACAAGCCAUUGCCAGAUAAAAAACUGUUGAAGUCAAGCAAAAGCAGGAAGUUAACGGACAGAAAAGCAAAGAAAGCGAAGGAUGAAGAAGUCAAAGAGAACAAAGACACCGAAGAGGCAACAGAAGACGAAGGUGAAGGCGACGACACCAUUUCCAAGAAAAAAAAGAAGUCGGUGGAGAAGAAAGAAAAGACUCAAAAAGGUUGAUUGAUUCUACAGUGGCAGACUAUGACUUAUUUAAGUAAUUUUGUCGUUUAGACAAAGAAACAACUCAGCUACGGAGAAUGUAUGCUUACAGUUAAAUGGCAGAACAAUUAACAGCAAUUUUAUAUCUUCCUUGUUUCUUUCCUGGUAACGUGAUUUUUGUUUGAUGGAUUAACCAUGAAUGAUCUUUGAUUUGUUGUUGAAGGUUAUAAGACAGCUAAUGAAUCACAUGAGAAGCUUGGUAAAAUGUUAACAGUAUAAACUGUGGAUAGUAGAGACUUAACAUGGCAAACUUUAGAUCAAAGGAUCAAUAAUCCGUCCAACCAAGCCUGUAAUGUUGUCAAAGAUCUGCUUCAGAGAACCCAGUUAAAAGGUUGUAAAGCUUUUAUCCUGAUCAGCAACCUUGAGUUUAAACAGACG
ensembl:lncRNA ubiquitin carboxyl-terminal hydrolase 36-like